CUUAAACCUGUAUUUGUUUUUAUUUUAUUUUUUUAAAUAAAUAAAGACAGACAUAUUUAAGUCUUGUUCAAAAUAAUGUUGGUGCAAUCAAGCUUAGAUAGCAUAUUUAAGUUAUAUAUUUUGUUUUAAAAUUAUAAAUUCAAUAUACAUGAUUAUCUUUAUACUUCCUAUAUGUUUAACUUAUUUGGCAUAUCAAAAUUGAUAUUUCCAAAAGAUCAAACUUAUAUGAUUUAAUUAACUUUUUAAUGAGCAUUAAUCACAUAUAUCUUUGCAUAAGGAUACUUACAAUUUAACAACAGACCAUCAAUUUAUGUAAAUAGAUAAAGUCACUCUUAAAAAGAUAUAUACUUGUACUUUGUGUUGUGUUCAAAAGAUACUACAAUUCAUCAUUAAAUAUGAAAUAUUUUUAUAUUCUUCAUAAUAAAAGCUAAAUUUGUAUUGAUAUUAUACAGAGAUAUAUUAGAAAAUUUUCAACCAAGUAAACAAUUAGAACUCUUAAAACAAUUAGAACAUUAAUCUCAUGACAGAUGUCAGGAUAAUUAUAACGAUUUUUAUCAGAAAAUCGUUUAACGUUAUGAAUAUUCAAUUCUCAUCAGAUGAAUCCGAAGAGUGAUGAAUCCACUACUAUGUGGUGACUUUUCUAUACUUCCUAAUUGGAUCUACGAAAGUGCACUAUAACGGAUAAAGGAUUUUCAUAUCUCGCAGAUCUACAGUCUUUGGAAUAUUUAAAUUUGCAAACAAGUCAUAUAAUAACUCUUACUAUUUGUAGAAUAGUGCAAAGCAAUUAUGGUUUGCGUCAUUUAUCUAUAGUAGAAAAUGUGAAAGAAAUUGAUGUAGACAAAAUCUUAAAGGAAUUAAGAAUAUACUGUCCAAAUCUGGAGCAUACAGAUUUCCGUAAAAGGAUACCUGAAGUACGUAAAAAUGUGGGAAAACUGGAUGUGAACCAAAUCUUUGAGGAAUUAAAAAGAUACUGUCCAGCUCUGGACUAUACAGUUUUCCGUGAAAGUAUACCUGUAUAUACAAACGAUGAUCUGUAUACAAACAGUGAAACACCUACAUACAGCAGUUGUAGAUUUUUGUCGAAAAUAUAAAAUCUACUAUUAAAUCUAAA